GAUGAACGCUAGCGGGAGGCCUAACACAUGCAAGCCGAGCGGUAUUGUUUCUUCGGAAAUGAGAGAGCGGCGUACGGGUGCGGAACACGUGUGCAACCUGCCUUUAUCUGGGGGAUAGCCUUUCGAAAGGAAGAUUAAUACUCCAUAAUAUAUUGAACGGCAUCGUUUAAUAUUGAAAGAUCCGGCGGAUAGAGAUGGGCACGCGCAAGAUUAGCUAGUUGGUGAGGUAACGGCUCACCAAGGCAAUGAUCUUUAGGGGGCCUGAGAGGGUGAUCCCCCACACUGGUACUGAGACACGGACCAGACUCCUACGGGAGGCAGCAGUGAGGAAUAUUGGUCAAUGGGUGCAAGCCUGAACCAGCCAUCCCGCGUGAAGGACGACUGCCCUAUGGGUUGUAAACUUCUUUUGUAUAGGGAUAAACCUACCCUCGUGAGGGUAGCUGAAGGUACUAUACGAAUAAGCACCGGCUAACUCCGCGCCAGCAGCCGCCGUAAUAC
rnacentral:rRNA from 1 species